GAGGUGCUAGUAAAACCAGAUUACAUAGCCCUGUCAGAGCUAAAUUACAGACCUCUGUGCACCUCC
rnacentral:tRNA from 1 species